UACGGAGGGGGCUAGCGUUGUUCGGAAUUACUGGGCGUAAAGCGCACGUAGGCGGUGUGUCAAGUCAGGCGUGAAAGCCCCGGGCUCAACCUGGGAACAGCGCUUGAGACUGGCACGCUCGAGUUCGGGAGAGGUGAGUGGAACUGCGAGUGUAGAGGUGAAAUUCGUAGAUAUUCGCAAGAACACCAGUGGCGAAGGCGGCUCACUGGCCCGAUACUGACGCUGAGGCACGAAAGCGUGGGGAGCAAACAGG
rnacentral:rRNA from 1 species